AGCGAACGCUGGCGGCAGGCCUAACACAUGCAAGUCGAACGAACCUUUCGGGGUUAGUGGCGGACGGGUGAGUAACACGUGGGAACGUGCCUUUAGGUUCGGAAUAACUCAGGGAAACUUGUGCUAAUACCGAAUGUGCCCUUCGGGGGGAAGAUUAAUCGCCUUUAGAGCGGCCCGCGUCUGAUUAGCUAGUUGGUUGAGGUAAUGGCUCACCAAGGCGACGAUCAGUAGCUGGUCUGAGAGGAUGAUCAGCCACAUUGGGACUGAGACACGGCCCAAACUCCUACGGGAUGCAGCAGUGGGGAAUCGUGCGCAAUGGGCGAAAGCCUGACGCAGCCAUGCCGCGUGAAUGAUGAAGGUCUUAGGAUUGUAAAAUUCUUUCACCGGGGACGAUAAUGACGGUACCCGGAGAAGAAGCCCCGGCUAACUUCGUG
rnacentral:rRNA from 1 species